GCUUACGGCCAUACCACCCUGAGCACGCCCGAUCUCAUCUGAUCUCGGAAGCUAAGCAGUGUCGGGCCUGGUUAGUACUUGGAUGGGAGACCGCCUGGGAAUACCAGGUGCUGUAAGCU
ensembl:rRNA 5S_rRNA 5S ribosomal RNA